UACGAAGGUCCCAAGCGUUAUCCGGAUUUAUUGGGUUUAAAGGGUGCGUAGGCGGGCUAUUAAGUCAGUGGUGAAAGCCCCCAGCUUAACUUGGGAACUGCCAUUGAUACUGAUGGUCUUGAGUACAUUUGAGGUGGGCGGAAUGUGUCAUGUAGCGGUGAAAUGCUUAGAUAUGACACAGAACACCGAUUGCGAAGGCAGCUCACUAAACUGUAAACUGACGCUGAGGCACGAAAGCGUGGGGAGCAAACAGG
rnacentral:rRNA from 1 species